UACGUAGGGGGCAAGCGUUGUCCGGAUUUAUUGGGCGUAAAGAGCGUGUAGGCGGCUUUGCAAGUCCGUUGUGAAAACUCGAGGCUCAACCUCGAGACGCCGGUGGAAACUGCAAAGCUAGAGUCCGGAAGAGGAGAGUGGAAUUCCUGGUGUAGCGGUGAAAUGCGCAGAUAUCAGGAGGAACACCGGUGGCGAAGGCGGUUCUCUGGGCCUGUACUGACGCUGAGGAACGAAAGCGUGGGGAGCGAACAGG
rnacentral:rRNA from 1 species